AUGGUUUUUUUCUCCUUAGAUGACCCUAAAAGCCCCAGAGGUUGGCAAGGAACCAAAAUUCAGAAAACAAAUACCACAGCUAUGUGCACUUUCAAGGAUCAAUACAGUACUGGCAGAGCUAUUGGACUAUUGGAGUGUAUGCAGUGGUACUUACAGAGACUCAUACUGCAACAUUGUGCUUUAGACUUAAAGAUUUCUUCUUCUGUCAGCCUGCUCUUCCCUGACCUCAACAAGAAACUCUUCAGCCCCGCCAAUAAGGUAUAGUAUAGUACUUUUUUUUUUCUCCAACCCUCAGGACUGUGAUAUUCUGUCUUCAUUUAAUGCCUUCGUUAGCAUCUUCUACCAAGUUGUAAACUGGACUAGAGUGCUACGGAGACAGUGGCCUGCUUGAUAUUGUUGCUGGAUAUAUUGAAACGGCUGAUCCGCUGGGAGAAUUAGCUAAUAGGCUACAGAAAGACAGCAUGCCUUGACCUUGUCUAGAUUGAACUAUGAUGGAUCCUCCAGGCAUUUGGACUGAAUGCAGUUGUCAAACAGAAAAAAAUAUGAAGCUGUGGGAGGCAGAACUUGUCCUUUCUGCAGACUAAUAAAUCUCUGAGGGCUUUUGUUUUCUCAGGCCAAAAACUGAAUCAGAAUAGAAAUGUCAUUGUAUGUGAUGUUAAAUAGCUUGAAUGUAACAUGAGUACAGUAAGUGUACCAGUGCUGUGUUGUUGCAUGGAUGGAAGGGCAUGUUUUGUCAUGCAGACGCAUGCACAAUGUUGCCUGCAGAGCAGUGAGCACUGAUGGAACAUAGCCGUGGUGCUCAGCAUCAUGAGUGUCCUCUGUGGGCUUCCCUGAGGUACAACACUGCACUGUUGAUUUCAUAGUGCCUUUAUUUCACUCUGAGCACAAAUCUCUUGUGUGAUACUAUCCAUAGGAAUGUGGAGCCAAGAAGCUUUGCAAAGAGCUUCUUCACAUACAUUACAGCUACUUGUGCUUUAGAGAUGCACGCAAAGAAUUCUUUAGCGCCUCUCUUUUUACAGACUAUAGAUGUUGUUACACUUCAAAGGAAAAUUAAAUUGGACGAGGCAACAGUCAAAUUAAGUGUUUGAUGCUUAAUUUUGGGGAAAUGCAUAAGGAAAGUAAGAAGAGGAACUGUGACUGUGUGCCUUAUUACAUUUUCAGUGACAUUGAUAUUACCUCCUUGAUUUUUGUGCUUAGAGAAACAAAUCAAUAUCCUUUCUGCAGCUGUUGCAUUAGUGAUUUUUUGCUCCACUGAGCUGCUCGACGUAUGUACAAAAUAGUCACCCAUUCAUUAGGACAUACUGAAAACAUCAAAGGGUGAAAAGUUUAAAAGCCUUACUUUUUUACUGGCUGAGAUACAAAAAAAAGAAAAAAACACCUUUAAUACGUUUUUGAACAAAUGCUGACCUCUGCAGGUAUUGAUUGGAUCAAUAUUACCGAAAAUAAACUACACUCUAGGGUGGAAUCAUACAUGGACAAGCCUCUGAGAGCAUAAACCCUUAAUGAAAUAGAAAAUCACUUUUUCACCCCGUUGACUGGAUAUCCAUUUACUUCCUGGGUAGCAAUGGUUAAUAGAUACCUCAUGCUGUAAGUAUAAGUAGAAACUUCAACCGAUGAAAGCUAUGCAAUAACCAACUGACUCUUUUGAAUUAUCCCUUCACACAUUUUAAGCUUAAUAGAACGCCUCAUCUGUAGUCUUUUCAUAAUGGAAAAACUGAACAAACUGUAUGCAUUAUUUUAGAGUUAAAAACAAAGAUGUGUCAUGUGUUAUAUUUGACUUCAGUAAAAUCUGCCUUAACUUAGUUUGCAAAUGCAUUGUGUCGCAGUAAUUUGCAUGACACAACCAUCUUUCAUUAGGGCUAUUGAAGUGCCACCCUUUAGUACUCUCAUAGGAUUUGAACCACCAUUUCACUUAAAUGAUCACCCAGAUGUUCCAGACAAUACUGUUAAGUGCUGUUAAUAUUGUCUGUAUGUAAUUGCAUUUUUACAAAUAAAUGGCCAUAAGAAGUACCAUCAUACAUCAUAUUCCAUUUGAGUCUUAAUUAGAUAUUAAAAACCAUGUAUUUUCUGUGUUUAGACGUGAUAGUGAACAAUGGGCUUGAGUUGCAUUGACGACAUUUGAAUUCACUGUUUAAUGUUAAG
rnacentral:lncRNA from 15 species